GAAUUCAUCAUAUUUAUAUACUUAUGAGCUGGGCUUGGUGGCUCACGCCUGUAAUCCCAGCACUUUGGGAGGCCGAGGCGGGAGGAUCACUUGAGCCCUUUUCCUUCCAAUGGAAAAGCCUUUGGCUGGGAAUUAGGGUUUUAGAGCUGGUUGAAGUAAAAACCAGCUACAUCCUCUGGGCAAAUCAUUUAAAUUUUGUGCACCUUCCUUAUCAGUGAAAUUGGAAUAGUUAUGUUACUUGCCUCAUGUCCUUCCCAAGGAUGUUCU
rnacentral:lncRNA from 10 species